AAAUUGAAGAGUUUGAUCAUGGCUCAGAUUGAACGCUGGCGGCAGGCCUAACACAUGCAAGUCGAACGGUAGCACAGAGAGCUUGCUCUCGGGUGACGAGUGGCGGACGGGUGAGUAAUGUCUGGGAAACUGCCUGAUGGAGGGGGAUAACUACUGGAAACGGUGGCUAAUACCGCAUAACGUCGCAAGACCAAAGAGGGGGACCUUCGGGCCUCUUGCCAUCAGAUGUGCCCAGAUGGGAUUAGCUUGUUGGUGAGGUAACGGCUCACCAAGGCGACGAUCCCUAGCUGGUCUGAGAGGAUGACCAGCCACACUGGAACUGAGACACGGUCCAGACUCCUACGGGAGGCAGCAGUGGGGAAUAUUGCACAAUGGGCGCAAGCCUGAUGCAGCCAUGCCGCGUGUAUGAAGAAGGCCUUCGGGUUGUAAAAGUACUUUCAGCGGGGAGGAAGGUGUUGUGGUUAAUAACCGCAGCAAUUGACGUUACCCGCAGAAGAAGCACCGGCUAACUCCGUGCCAGCAGCCGCGGUAAUACGGAGGGUGCAAGCGUUAAUCGGAAUUACUGGGCGUAAAAGCGCACGCAGGCGGUCUGUCAAGUCGGAUGUGAAAUCCCCGGGCUCAACCUGGGAACUGCAUUCGAAACUGGCAGGCUUGAGUCUUGUAGAGGGGGGUAGAAUUCCAGGUGUAGCGGUGAAAUGCGUAGAGAUCUGGAGGAAUACCGGUGGCGAAGGCGGCCCCCUGGACAAAGACUGACGCUCAGGUGCGAAAGCGUGGGGAGCAAACAGGAUUAGAUACCCUGGUAGUCCACGCCGUAAACGAUGUCUACUUGGAGGUUGUGCCCUUGAGGCGUGGCUUCCGGAGCUAACGCGUUAAGUAGACCGCCUGGGGAGUACGGCCGCAAGGUUAAAACUCAAAUGAAUUGACGGGGGCCCGCACAAGCGGUGGAGCAUGUGGUUUAAUUCGAUGCAACGCGAAGAACCUUACCUGGUCUUGACAUCCACAGAAGAAUCCAGAGAUGGAUUUGUGCCUUCGGGAACUGUGAGACAGGUGCUGCAUGGCUGUCGUCAGCUCGUGUUGUGAAAUGUUGGGUUAAGUCCCGCAACGAGCGCAACCCUUAUCCUUUGUUGCCAGCGGUCCGGCCGGGAACUCAAAGGAGACUGCCAGUGAUAAACUGGAGGAAGGUGGGGAUGACGUCAAGUCAUCAUGGCCCUUACGACCAGGGCUACACACGUGCUACAAUGGCGCAUACAAAGAGAAGCGACCUCGCGAGAGCAAGCGGACCUCAUAAAGUGCGUCGUAGUCCGGAUUGGAGUCUGCAACUCGACUCCAUGAAGUCGGAAUCGCUAGUAAUCGUGGAUCAGAAUGCCACGGUGAAUACGUUCCCGGGCCUUGUACACACCGCCCGUCACACCAUGGGAGUGGGUUGCAAAAGAAGUAGGUAGCUUAACCUUCGGGAGGGCGCUUACCACUUUGUGAUUCAUGACUGGGGUGAAGUCGUAACAAGGUAACCGUAGGGGAACCUGCGGUUGGAUCACCUCCUUA
rnacentral:rRNA from 1 species